GUACCACUUAAAUUGGUUCUGCUUUGAAAAUGGUGCUGGGUCUAUGCUUCACCAACCUCUCCAGGUGACAGGAGCUCAUUUUCACAAUGGCAGAGACUUGCCCAUCCUUCAAACCCCAUUCUGUCAGAACAUCCAGACCCAAGGAGGUAGGAUCCAUACAGCUCCAGGUGAAGCUUAGUGAUCUAAGAUUUUCUUUGAUAUGCAUGAAAAUCACCUGAUGGAUUGAUGGAUGGAAUGACAGAUGGGAAGGUGCUUAUCAUAGCAAUGGAAACCCAAUAACAAAGAGAUAUGUAUUUCCAAUAUGCUCUUUUCUACAUGGAUGGACCAAGCUGUUUGGAAACAUGUGGAGUUCAUUAGGAGAUCAGAAUGAAUAUGUCCUAGGAGAUAUCUUAAGGUUUCUGAAAAGGAAUGGGUAACUCUCCUGGAAAUAUUCGAGACCACAUUUCUUGUAAGAAUAUGACUGCCAGCACUACCAAGAGAAAUGUGAACAGCUGCCUUGAAUUCCUGCCAUUGUAUCUUACUGUUGUGAACAUAAGGGGAUGAGCAAUAAGAAAAAUUGCACAAGAAAGAGCAUAGAGCAUCCCUCCUUGGCAUCCCUCCUUAGCA
rnacentral:lncRNA from 1 species